ensembl:misc_RNA Metazoa_SRP Metazoan signal recognition particle RNA
GCCAGGUGUGCAGUGUGCACCUGUAGUCCCAGCUACUUGGGAGGCUGAGGCAGGAGAAUCGCUUGAACCCAGGAGGCCGAGGUUGCAGUGAGCCAAGAUCGCACCACUGCACUCUAGCCUGGGCAACAGAGUGAGACUUUGUCUCUA